rnacentral:tRNA from 1 species
UACUUAGCUCAGUUGGUUAGAGCACCUGACUGUUAAUCAGGGGGUCGUGAGUUCAAGUCUCUCAGUG